UAAGACGAAGGAUGCAAGCGUUAUCCGGAUUCAUUGGGUUUAAAGGGAGCGUAGGCGGACUGAUAAGUCAGUGGUGAAAUCUUUGGGCUUAACCCAGAAACUGCCAUUGAUACUGUUAGUCUAGAGUACAGUUGCCGUUGGCGGAAUAUGACAUGUAGUGGUGAAAUACUUAGAUAUGUCAUAGAACACCGAUUGCGAAGGCAGCUAACGAAGCUGUAACUGACGCUGAGGCUCGAAAGUGCGGGGAUCAAACAGGAUUAGAUACCCUGGUAGUCCGCACUGUAAACGAUGAUUACUCGUUGCUGGAAGGUAACUUUCAGUGACCAAGCGAAAGCGAUAAGUAAUCCACCUGGGGAGUACGCCGGCAACGGUGAAACUCAAAUGAAUUGACGG
rnacentral:rRNA from 1 species